rnacentral:rRNA from 1 species
UCGGGAAUUUUGGGCAAUGGGCGAAAGCCUGACCCAGCAACGCCGCGUGAAGGAUGAAGUAUUUCGGUAUGUAAACUUCGAAAGAAUAGGAAGAAUAAAUGACGGUACUAUUUAUAAGGUCCGGCUAACUACGUGCCAGCAGCCGCGGUAAUACGUAGGGACCAAGCGUUGUUCGGAUUUACUGGGCGUAAAGGGCGCGUAGGCGGCAUGACAAGUCACUUGUGAAAUCUCUGGGCUUAACCCAGAACGGCCAAGUGAUACUGUCGCGCUAGAGUGCAGAAGGGGCAAUCGGAAUUCUUGGUGUAGCGGUGAAAUGCGUAGAUAUCAAGAGGAACACCUGAGGUGAAGACGGGUUGCUGGGCAGUUCCUGACGCUGAGGCACGAAGGCUAGGGGAGCAAACGGGAUUAGAUACCCCGGUAGUCCCUGAGCGGGCUGGCAAGGCGCAU